UACGGAGGGGGCUAGCGUUGUUCGGAAUGACUGGGCGUAAAGGGCGCGUAGGCGGACUGCACAGUGAGGCGUGAAAUUCCUGUGCUUAACCUGGGGACUGCGUGUCAGACGUGUGAUCUAGAGUGAGGAAGAGGGUCGUGGAAUUUCCAGUGUAGAGGUGAAAUUCGUAGAUAUUGGAAAGAACACCGGUGGCGAAGGCGGCGAACUGGUCCUUGUCUGACGCUGAGGCGCGAAAGCGUGGGGAGCAAACAGG
rnacentral:rRNA from 1 species